UCUUUCCGCCAGCGCCCGCAGGACCCGGAUGAGAGUGCACGCUUGGGGGUCCCCGGGAAGUCGCGGCGCCUUCGGAGGUGGCGGAUGCGGUCGUGAGCCGGCGGGGGAGGUGCUGCUGCUGCCUCCACUGUACUCAGACCCAGGUAGCACAGGAUUGUCCAUCCGCCAGCAGCUCAGUGCAACGGUGUGAACUCAGCCUGUUUCAGAGCCUUCCUACCAUGGCUGGAGUGCAAUGGCACAAUCUCAGCUCACCACAACCUCCGCCUCCCAGGUUCAAGCAAUUCUUCUGCCUCAGCCUCCCGAGUAGCUGGAAUUACAGACCUCCAAAAAGCUGGUGAACUCGGUGGCUGGCUGUGCUGAUGACGCUCUUGCUGGCCUGGUGGCCUGCAACCCCAACCUGCAGCUCCUGGAGGGCCACCGCGUGGCCCUCCGUUCUGACCUGGACAGCCUCAAGGGCCAGGUGGCACUGCUGUCGGGUGGGGGCUCUGGCCAUGAGCCUGCCCAUGCUGGUUUCAUAGGGAAGGGGAUGCUGACUGGGGUCAUCGCAGGAGCCGUGUUCACCUCCCCAGCAGUGGGCAGCAUCCUGGCA
rnacentral:sRNA from 1 species